rnacentral:rRNA from 1 species
CCCUUAGAUGUUCUGGGCCGCACGCGCGCUACACUGAUGCAUUCAACGAGCCUAUCCUUGACCGACAGGUCCGGGUAAUCUUUGAAUCUGCAUCGUGACGGGGAUAGAUUAUUGCAAUUAUUAAUCUUCAACGAGGAAUGCCUAGUAAGCGCGAGUCAUCAGCUCGCGCUGAUUACGUCCCUGCCCUUUGUACACACCGCCCGUCGCUACUACCGAUUGGAUGGUUUAGCGAGAACUUUGGACCGGAGCUCGGGUGGUCAGCAAUGGCCGCCCGAGACAUACUGGGAAAUCGCUCCAGCUUGAUCAUCUAGAGGAAGUAAAAGUCGUAACA